rnacentral:misc_RNA from 1 species
GAGGUCGCUUGGGACUGAGAGUCUUGUUGUUUGUUGGUGCUGGCGCAUUGGAUUUUGGAGGUGCAAGGGAGUUUUUGGAGAGAAGGGGACAGAGAGAAGAGUGGUGCGGAGCAAGGGAAAGACAGAAGAGGGAAGAGAGUGGCGAGGAACAGAGAGAGAGGGAAGAGAAGAGACCUUGAGUGGCAUGGUUACUUCAGUUGGUUGGUUGGUUGCUUG